AGUGGCGAACUGGUGAGUAACACGUGGGAAACCUGCCCAGAAGCGGGGGAUAACACCUGGAAACAGAUGCUAAUACCGCAUAACAACUUGGACCGCAUGGUCCGAGUUUGAAAGAUGGCUUCGGCUAUCACUUUUGGAUGGUCCCGCGGCGUAUUAGCUAGAUGGUGGGGUAACGGCUCACCAUGGCAAUGAUACGUAGCCGACCUGAGAGGGUAAUCGGCCACAUUGGGACUGAGACACGGCCCAAACUCCUACGGGAGGCAGCAGUAGGGAAUCUUCCACAAUGGACGAAAGUCUGAUGGAGCAACGCCGCGUGAGUGAAGAAGGGUUUCGGCUCGUAAAACUCUGUUGUUAAAGAAGAACAUAUCUGAGAGUAACUGUUCAGGUAUUGACGGUAUUUAACCAGAAAGCCACGGCUAACUACGUGCCAGCAGCCGCGGUAAUACGUAGGUGGCAAGCGUUGUCCGGAUUUAUUGGGCGUAAAGCGAGCGCAGGCGGUUUUUUAAGUCUGAUGUGAAAGCCUUCGGCUCAACCGAAGAAGUGCAUCGGAAACUGGGAAACUUGAGUGCAGAAGAGGACAGUGGAACUCCAUGU
rnacentral:rRNA from 2 species